rnacentral:rRNA from 1 species
UGGGGAAUUUUGGACAAUGGGGGAAACCCUGAUCCAGCCAUCCCGCGUGUGCGAUGAAGGCCUUCGGGUUGUAACGCACUUUUGGCAGGAAAGAAACGUCAUGGGUCAAUACCCCGUGAAACUGACGGUACCUGCAGAAUAAGCACUGGCUAACUACGUGCCAGCAGCCGCGGUAAUACGUAGGGUGCAAGCUUUAAUCGGAAUUAAUUGUCGGAAAGCGUGCGCAGGCGGUUCGGAAAGAAAGAUGUGAAAUCCCAGAGCUCAACUUUGGAACUGCAUUUUUAACUACCGGGCUAGAGUGUGUCAGAGGGAGGUGGAAUUCCGCGUGUAGCAGUGAAAUGCGUAGAUAUGCGGAGGAACACCGAUGGCGAAGGCAGCCUCCUGAGAUAACACUGACGCUCAUGCACGAAAGCGUGGGGAGCAAACAGG